rnacentral:ncRNA from 1 species
UACCUGGUUGAUCCUGCCAGUAGUCAUAUGCUUGUCUCAAAGAUUAAGCCAUGCAUGUCCAAGUAUAAACGAAUAUACAGUGAAACUGCGAAUGGCUCAUUAAAUCAGUUAUAGUUUAAUUGAUAGUACCUUACUAGUUGGAUAACCAGUGGUAAUUCUAGAGCUAAUACAUGCAACAAGUCC